rnacentral:rRNA from 1 species
UUCUCCUACGGGAGGCAGCAGUGGGGAAUAUUGGGCAAUGGGCGCAAGCCUGACCCAGCAACGCCGCGUGAAGGAAGAAGGCUUUCGGGUUGUAAACUUCUUUUCUUGGGGACGAAGAAAGUGACGGUACCCAAGGAAUAAGCCACGGCUAACUACGUGCCAGCAGCCGCGGUAAUACGUAGGUGGCAAGCGUUGUUCGGAAUAACUGGGCGUAAAGGAUGCGUAGGCGGUUAAACAAGUUAUAUGUUAAAUAUAUAGGCUUAACCUGUAGAAAGCAUAUAAAACUGUUUAACUAGAGUGCAGGA